CAGUCGCCACGGUAAUACGUAGGUGGCAAGCGUUGUCCGGAGUUAUUGGGCGUAAAGCGCGCGCAGGUGGUUUAAUAAGUCUGAUGUGAAAGCCCACGGCUCAACCGUGGAGGGUCAUUGGAAACUGUUAAACUUGAGUGCAGGAGAGGAGAGUGGAAUUCCACGUGUAGCGGUGAAAUGCGUAGAGAUGUGGAGGAACACCAGUGGCGAAGGCGACUCUCUGGUCUGUAACUGACGCUGAGGAGCGAAAGCGUGGGGAGCGAACAGGAUUAGAUACCCCCGUAGUCCCUGUCUCUUAUAC
rnacentral:rRNA from 1 species